rnacentral:lncRNA from 1 species
AGGAGGAGGGAACAGGAAGUUUCGUGUAUCAUUGAUGUUAUGUAUGAUUAAUAAAAACUUGUGCUUCUCAUCUAAUUUGUUGUGCACUUGUAGAACUGUUUUGUUGUGCACUUGUUGGGCCUGAAAUCUUUAUGUGUAGAGGAGUCGAUGUAUUAUGUAUUGUAAUUCAUGUGAUGUGCUACUGAAAUGAAAUAUAUACA